UACGUAGGGGGCUAGCGUUGUCCGGAAUCAUUGGGCGUAAAGAGCGUGUAGGCGGUCCGGUAAGUCCGUUGUGAAAGUCAGGGGCUCAACCCUUGAAUGCCGGCGGAUACUGUCGGGCUAGAGUCCGGAAGAGGCGAGUGGAAUUCCCGGUGUAGCGGUGAAAUGCGCAGAUAUCGGGAGGAACACCUAUGGCGAAGGCGGCUCACUGGCCCGAUACUGACGCUGAGGCACGAAAGCGUGGGGAGCAAACAGG
rnacentral:rRNA from 1 species